GAUCCGCGAUUACUAGCGAUUCCAGCUUCACGCAGUCGAGUUGCAGACUGCGAUCCGAACUGAGAACAGAUUUGUGGGAUUGGCUUAACCUCGCGGUUUCGCUGCCCUUUGUUCUGCCCAUUGUAGCACGUGUGUAGCCCAGGUCAUAAGGGGCAUGAUGAUUUGACGUCAUCCCCACCUUCCUCCGGUUUGUCACCGGCAGUCACCUUAGAGUGCCCAACUGAAUGCUGGCAACUAAGAUCAAGGGUUGCGCUCGUUGCGGGACUUAACCCAACAUCUCACGACACGAGCUGACGACAACCAUGCACCACCUGUCACUCUGCCCCCGAAGGGGACGUCCUAUCUCUAGGAUUGUCAGAGGAUGUCAAGACCUGGUAAGGUUCUUCGCGUUGCUUCGAAUUAAACCACAUGCUCCACCGCUUGUGCGGGCCCCCGUCAAUUCCUUUGAGUUUCAGUCUUGCGACCGUACUCCCCAGGCGGAGUGCUUAAUGCGUUAGCUGCAGCACUAAGGGGCGGAAACCCCCUAACACUUAGCACUCAUCGUUUACGGCGUGGACUACCAGGGUAUCUAAUCCUGUUCGCUCCCCACGCUUUCGCUCCUCAGCGUCAGUUACAGACCAGAGAGUCGCCUUCGCCACUGGUGUUCCUCCACAUCUCUACGCAUUUCACCGCUACACGUGGAAUUCCACUCUCCUCUUCUGCACUCAAGUUCCCCAGUUUCCAAUGACCCUCCCCGGUUGAGCCGGGGGCUUUCACAUCAGACUUAAGAAACCGCCUGCGAGCCCUUUACGCCCAAUAAUU
rnacentral:rRNA from 1 species